GAUGAACGCUGGCGGCGUGCCUAACACAUGCAAGUCGAGCGAUUUACUUCGGUAAAGAGCGGCGGACGGGUGAGUAACGCGUGGGUAACCUGCCCUGUACACACGGAUAACAUACCGAAAGGUAUGCUAAUACGAGAUAAUAUACUUUUAUCGCAUGGUAGAAGUAUCAAAGCUUUUGCGGUACAGGAUGGACCCGCGUCUGAUUAGCUAGUUGGUAAGGUAACGGCUGACCAAGGCGACGAUCAGUAGCCGACCUGAGAGGGUGAUCGGCCACAUUGGAACUGAGACACGGUCCAAACUCCUACGGGAGGCAGCAGUGGGGAAUAUUGCACAAUGGGCGAAAGCCUGAUGCAGCAACGCCGCGUGAGCGAUGAAGGCCUUCGGGUCGUAAAGCUCUGUCCUCAAGGAAGAUAAUGACGGUACUUGAGGAGGAAGCCCCGGCUAACUACGUGCCAGCAGCCGCCGUAAAAC
rnacentral:rRNA from 1 species